AAAGUUCAGUUGAUUUACAAUGUUGUGUCCAUUUCUGCUGUACAGCAAAGUGACUCAGUCAUACAUAUAUAUAUGUUUUUUUCUCAUAUUACCAUCCAGCAUAUUCUAUCACAAGUGACUGGACAGAGUGCUGCACAGCAGGACCACCCAGCACUUUCUAACCCGGCUCCUGCUGGCCUCGAUCCCCUCCCUUAUGUACCACUCACCUACGUCCCUUCACUAGACUGUAAGCUCCUUGAGGACAAGAGUGUUCGAGUAUCUUGUCACUGCUGUUUGCUCAGUGCUGAGAAUAUCCUAUAAGAGGCGACCGAUAAACACCUGAUGAAUGACGGCUGAGCCCUUUAGACCAAGGUCACUCACUAAUUCUCCCCGCGUCUCAGAGCAACAGGGGGUUACUACCCUCUGGCUCAUCUUAUGGCCAGGAAACUCCCCAGGCACGUUUUAUGCAGAUGCCCAGCUCAGACGCCACACUUGCCAGAGAGUACGUGCCAGGGGAAGUGAGGCGGUGUGCCUCCGACCUUGUGAUGCUCAGUAAUACGUGUCUGUGUUUAUCACUGCAGGCAAAGGACAUCUAAGGAACAUGCUGGAAGAAGCAGGGAUAGAGAGAGACAUGACCCAUUCUCACCACUCCCUGAGGUUCACUGGAGUUCCCACUGCGGCUCGGUGGUUAAGGACCCAACUAGUAUCCAUGAGGAUAGGGGUUCGAUCCCUGGCCCCGCUCAGUGGGUUAAGGCUCUGGCGUUGCCCCAAUUGCGGUGUAGGUCACAGGGCAGCCUGGAUCUGGUGUUGCCAUGACUGUGGAGUAGGCCAACAGCUGCAGUUCCAAUUUGACCCUUAGCCUGGGAACUUCCAUAUGCUGCAGGAGCAGCUGCAACUAGAAGAAAAAAAAAUUCAUACAUAUAAAUAUGUAUCACUGCCUAAAACCACAACUGAUUAAAUUUUAAAUCGAAGCAAUGGUUAACAUUUCAAAGUUCUCUCUACAUCCUCUAUUCAAAAUAAGGCAUUUCAUAAUGUUAACAAACAUUGCACAAUCAACACACACACACCACCCAAAAUUAUUGUCUUCCCUGUAAUGCAAUAGUCAUUACAUGUGUACACUUUGCAGAGUUCCCGAUGUGGCACAGUGGGUUAAGAAUUCGACUGCAGUGGCUGGGUUCGCUGUGGACGUGCAGGUGGGAUCCCAGGCCCGGCACGGUGGGUUAAAGGAUCUGAGCUGUGGCUCAGAUUCAGUCCCUGGCCUGGGAAUUUCCACAUGCUAUGGGUGUGGCCAUUUAAAAAAAGUUGUACACUUUGCUUCUGACAAACUGGUAUACAGACUUGUUUAAUCAAAAGAAGUAUACCAGGAACAGUUUUUGUUUUUGUUUUUUGUUUUUUGUUUUUUCCGGCUGUGCCUAUUGGAUGUGGAAGUUCCCGGGCCAGGGACUGAACCCAAGCCACAGCUGUGACCAGGGCCACAGCAAUGACAACGCCAGAUCCUUAACCUAAGAAGCCACCAGGGAAAUCCCAGGGAACAUUUUCAACCUGAGAAAGGACAAGGAUUCUGACUCCAUCAAAAUAACCACUUCUAACUUUUUAACCAUCAACUUGAGCUUUUCCAAAAAAUAGGAGCAUCAAUGCGUCUGAUGGAAACCAAACCCACUGAUGGUCUCAGCUUAAAAAACGUUUCAAGUUUUGCCCUCGUGGCAGAAAUGCUCAGUUUAGCAGGCAGUGCUUUGGGAGAAUUAAUCUUUUAGGAGGAUUAAACAGAUGAAGGAGGGGAUAUACCUUUCAAAGUACUCCUUUCUUCGGUGUUUAUGUACUGGGAGAAAGUGGCAGACAGCCCUUUUGCCUAAGAUUUAGCUCCUGGGGCCUUCUGUAUGGGGAGGGAAAAUCCAUUGCUUAGGUCAAGAUCCUUGCAUCCUAUCUCUUGAUUAUACUGGGGGAGGGGGUUGGAUAAAAAAAGGAACAAUAGCAAUAAUAUCACAAUAAGAAAUAUUAAGUUUUAAUCAUGGAGAACCUGAAAAAUGUUGUCAAUUUUUGGAAGUAAUUUGGGGAGUUGUGUUUUAAACUAAGACAUGUCUUUGAGUUAAAUACUAUAAAGAACAACCCUAAGAGAAAAAAAAAACAAAACAAACCACAAUCACUGUUUUUAGACAAAUUGUGAGACAUCCUAUAAGGUGUCAUCAUAUAAUAAUCUAAUUUGUGAAUUUCAAGUUAGGGUAGUAAAAUGAUGUCUUGACCCAAGAGAGGGAAUCACUAAUUUUUCUGAGUUACCUUAAGAAAACCUUCAUCUUCGUGCCACAUGCCAAAUUCUGUCACGAAUAUGGUUGGGUUGGGUGCCCUGGUAUCAGAUCAAACGCUGAUGUCAGAGACACAAGAUUAUUUGCAGAGUAGGAGGGAAUCCAUGUGUCUGUUAAUUUUCAAAUAUUAAGCUCAGUAAAUAGGAUAGCAGGGAAUUAAAGCCACGUGUCUUUCUUAGGAGUUUACAGACUGGUCUCAUUAUUUUUAAGCUCAAUCUAUUUUAUGCUUUUGGGUGGAAACUAACUUGAAAGAAUAUCCAAGAGUCAAAUUUGAUGAGGCUUCACAUGACAUGGCUAGUGAAUGUUAAACUUUCACUAUACCUGUCUGUGACUGAUGGAUAGAAAAUUAAUGAGAUGCGUAAAAGAGCAAUGGCUACUGCUUCCUUGUUUCUAAGAUAAAAGGAACAGAACAAUAUCUCCAAGUAAUGUACACUCUGCACAUCCUACCCUAAAAAAAUCAGACCCAGUGCCCCCCUCCCCACCCAAGAAACCGACACUGUCUUUACUAAACCUAAAGAAGUCUGAACUCACUCUGUGGAGGAGAGGGAUAAAUUAGGAUUGGGGAGUGACAUAUACACAUUACUGUAUAUAAAGUAGAUAAACAACAAGGACCUACAGUGUAACACAGAGACCUCUUCCCAAUAGUCUGUAAUAUCCUUUACAGGGAAAGAAUCUGAAAAAGAAUGGAUGUCUGCAUACGUAUAACUGAAUCACUCUGCUAUACGCCUGAAACAAACACGAUAUUGUAGGUCGACCAAACGCCCAUAAAAUAAAAAAAAAAAAAAAAAGAAUUCUGAAGUUAAAAACAUCUUGAAAUCACAAUCUGGUCUUUGUAUUAACACAUUUUAAGUUCCAUGUGUAGAGGCGAAUACGAAGCAGCUUAAAAAUGACAAAACAAGCCAAGGGUUUGCGUCCUAUAGUUUACAUUUUCGCAAGCACACCCUCAUGCUUUUGCCAAGGGGUUUCCAACACGUAUGAAGAUAAUUAUAGGCUCUUCUGAGGCAAAUCCUUUACGAAAAGUUCUCCCAAACGUGAAACCACUAGAUGUCUUUAUGUUCGCCAAUGAUGUGUUUCUGCUUAACAAAAUGUGUUUCGAAGAAAUCGCAAAUCAUCGUCUACUUACCCAGGAGACAUUUUUACCCUUCGGCGUCUUUUGCAUGGCAACCUGUAAUCCUGAGGUGGCCAACAGCAAUGUCACCAACAUGGACAAGCCAGUGAAGUCUAUUCCAAGUGUCUCUGUUACCCAAAUGCAAAAAGUUCCCUGGAUUGCCAGACACAGACAUCGUAAGUAAAAAUAAAGAUCACCUUCGGAUGACCCAUUUUUCUUCGCUGGACUAAGCAUGUAAACGCACACAUACCCACAUCCCAGAUCCCGGGCUCUAACCCCCCAGCCUAUGGAGGCAGAGGCUGCCACAUGUGUAUCUUCUCUACGACUGCAAGAUGCAGAGUGGAGUAUUUCGUUAAAAACAAAAA
rnacentral:lncRNA from 1 species